rnacentral:rRNA from 1 species
GAUGAACGCUAGCGGCAGGCUUAAUACAUGCAAGUCGAGGGGCAGCAUGAUUGUAGCAAUACAAUUGAUGGCGACCGGCAAACGGGUGCGGAACACGUACACAACCUUCCAACAAGUGGGGGAUAGCCCAGAGAAAUUUGGAUUAAUACACCGUAACAUAGCGAUGUGGCAUCACAUUGCUAUUAUAGAUUUUUCGCUUGUUGAUGGGUGUGCGGCUGAUUAGAUAGUUGGCGGGGUAACGGCCCACCAAGUCUACGAUCAGUAGCUGAUGUGAGAGAAGGAUCGGCCACACGGGCACUGAGGCACGGGCCCGAAUCCGACGGGAGGCAGCAGUAAGGAAUAUUGGACAAUGGACGCAAGUCUGAUCCAGCCAUGCCGCGUGAAGGAUUAAGGUCCUCUGGAUUGUAAACUUCUUUUAUAAGGGACGAAAAAAGGCUUUUCUAAGUCGUCUGACGGUACCUUAUGAAUAAGCACCGGCUAACUCCGUGCCAGCAGCCGCCGUAAUAC